rnacentral:rRNA from 1 species
CCUACGGGCGGCAGCAGUGAGGAAUAUUGGUCAAUGGGCGGAAGCCUGAACCAGCCAAGUCGCGUGAGGGAUUAAGGCCCUGCGGGUCGUAAACCUCUUUUGCCGGGGAGCAGAGGUCCGGACGUGUCCGGGCCGGGACAGUACCCGGCGAAAAAGCAUCGGCUAACUCCGUGCCAGCAGCCGCGGUAAUACGGAGGUUGCGAGCGUUAUCCGGAUUUAUUGGGUUUAAAGGGUGCGUAGGCGGGCAUUUAAGCCGGCGGUCAAAUGUCGGGGCUCAACCCCGGCCUGCCGUCGGAACUGGGUGCCUUGAGUGGGCGAGAGGUAUGCGGAAUGCGGGGUGUAGCGGUGAAAUGCAUAGAUAUCACGCAGAACCCCGAUUGCGAAGGCAGCAUACCGGCGCCCUACUGACGCUGAGGCACGAAAGUGCGGGUAUCGAACAGGAUUAGAUACCCUUGUAGUC